rnacentral:rRNA from 1 species
CCGCGGUCAUACGGAGGAUCCAAGCGUUAUCCGGAAUUACUGGGCGUAAAGAGUUGUGUAGGUGGCAAAGUAAGUGAGUAAUGAAAUCAUGCGGCUCAACCGCAUUCCCAUUACUUAAACUGCUUAGCUAGAGAGUGGAAGAGGUUGCUAGAAUUCCUGGUGUAGGGGUGAAAUCCGUAGAUAUCAGGAGGAAUACCGAUGGCGUAGGCAGGCAACUGGUCCAUUUCUGACACUGAGACACGAAAGCAUG